rnacentral:rRNA from 1 species
CCUUUGUACACACCGCCCGUCGCUACUACCGAUUGAAUGGCUCAGUGAGGCGUUGGGACUGGCCCAGAGAGGUGGGCAACUACCACUCAGGGCCGGAAACUUCUACGAACUCGGUCAUUUAGAGG